CUUUUGGCUGUGAAUGAGAAAAUACACAAAAACAUAUGAAUAUGCAUGUACGUGACAAUUUUUAAACAUUAUACAAAUCUAUAAAUUCAUAGAAUGAUAAUGUUCAUUUGCUUUCGUAUUCUAUUUAUACAGCAUUUUAUCUUCAAAAUACAAAUAUUAUAAACCCAUACAGCAAGUCCUUAAACAGGAUAAACAUCAACAAAGUAUCAAGAUAUUUAUUUUCUGUCUCAAGGUGUACAAUAUUUUAUAAGGCUAAGUGUCUUCCAAAUACAAAUAUGACAUACCGAUAAAACAAGUCCGUAGACAUCAACAAUAUAUCGAUUUGAUUUGAUUUUGAUUUUUGGUGUUUUAACGCCACUUUUAAGCACCGCUUUUGGGCUAUUUCGUGGCGGCCAGUUUUUAUUGGUGGAGGAAGCCGGAGUGCCCGGUGAAAACCACCGACCUUCGAUAGGAAAACUGACAAUCCUAGUCAAGUAAGAUUGGAGUCGAGUGCAUUCGCACGAGCGGGGUUCGAACUCACAACCUCAGUGUUGACUGGCUAGUGAAUACAGUAGUAACUACUUAGACCACUCGGCCACCGAGGCCCCUUACAAUGUAUCGAGAUUUUUAUCUUCUAUCUAAAGGUUGCACUUUGUAAUUACAGUUGUUUGACAAACCACGCCUCUUUUUGGGAGAUAUAUUAUAUUCACAGAUACUUUGGUUUUUUUACGUACUGGUUCCAAGGUAUGAUCUUUAUGUUUCAUCUUAUAGAGUCAUAUCUUGGGAAUGUUAAUCGUAUAAAUACACGUGGAUAGCGGCGAUAUUGAAUUCUGAUGAAGACCCAAAGUGAAGGGAGAGGUAUUACAGAAUUUAGUACAAGUUUAAACUCUUAGAAGUUCGAGGCAUAUAAAUGUUGAAAAUAUGUCGCACAGUACCAUGUUUUGACCUUUGAAUAAAAUAGUAGUACUUAUCAACGUUCCAUUCUAGGAUAUAUUUUUUUACGAAACUUCAUCGUAACAUUGGCACAGUUUUAGCUGUAAAUGGAGUUUCAAUGGGAAAUUGCAUCGUCUAUAUUGACAGAAGUGUACCCUAUAGAUAUAAAAUAUCUUUGUAUGGCUUAGUAUUUUGGAAUUAUUUUCCAUUUUCAAAAAAAGAUUUCAUGGGCGACUUAAUCAAUUAAAUAUUUUGUCAA